UACGGGCGAACGCCGCACUUCCUCAAAUUCAAACGCGUUGAAAAGCGCACAGCUCGUUGAGGGGGUAAGGUCGGAGAAACAUCUUCGUUGCGUGCUCGUGAGGAGCGAAGAACGAACGUUCUGCCGAAUGUACCAGAAAUUCAAUCAGUAUGGCCUCGUUUGUCGUACCUGAUUUUGAAACGCAUUCGAGAAGAUUUAUUUUAGUGCAAUGUGUGGCACCUGUUUGUCAGGUAACUCGAUUCCGACUAAUCUUGUCUGUA
rnacentral:RNase_P_RNA from 15 species